UAACGCGAAGAACCUUACCAGGUCUUGACAUACUAUGCAAAUCUAAGAGAUUAGACGUUCCCUUCGGGGACAUGGAUACAGGUGGUGCAUGGUUGUCGUCAGCUCGUGUCGUGAGAUGUUGGGUUAAGUCCCGCAACGAGCGCAACCCUUAUUAUCAGUUGCCAGCAUUAAGUUGGGCACUCUGGUGAGACUGCCGGUGACAAACCGGAGGAAGGUGGGGAUGACGUCAAAUCAUCAUGCCCCUUAUGACCUGGGCUACACACGUGCUACAAUGGAUGGUACAACGAGUUGCGAACUCGCGAGAGUAAGCUAAUCUCUUAAAGCCAUUCUCAGUUCGGAUUGUAGGCUGCAACUCGCCUACAUGAAGUCGGAAUCGCUAGUAAUCGCGGAUCAGC
rnacentral:rRNA from 1 species